rnacentral:rRNA from 1 species
GUGAGGAAUAUUGGUCAAUGGGCGAGAGCCUGAACCAGCCAAGUCGCGUGAAGGCAGAAGGAUCUAUGGUUCGUAAACUUCUUUUGCAGGGGAAUAAAGUGCAGGACGUGUCCUGUUUUGUAUGUACCCUGAGAAUAAGGAUCGGCUAACUCCGUGCCAGCAGCCGCGGUAAUACGGAGGAUCCGAGCGUUAUCCGGAUUUAUUGGGUCUAAAGGGUGCGUAGGUGGUUUGAUAAGUCAGCGGUGAAAGUUUGCAGCUUAACUGUAAAAAUGCCGUUGAAGCUGUCGGACUUGAGGGGCAAUGAGGUAGGCGGAAUGCGUGGUGUAGCGGUGAAAUGCAUAGAUAGCGCGCAGAACUCCGAUGGCGAAGGCCGCUUACUAAGCUACUACUGACACUGAAGCACGAAAGCGUGGGGCUCAAACAGGAUUAGAUACCCCAGUAGUCC